UACGAAGGGUGCAAGCGUUACUCGGAAUUACUGGGCGUAAAGCGUGCGUAGGUGGUUCGUUAAGUCUGUCGUGAAAGCCCCGGGCUCAACCUGGGAAUGGCGAUGGAUACUGGCUCGCUAGAGUGCGGUAGAGGAGAGUGGAAUUCCCGGUGUAGCAGUGAAAUGCGUAGAGAUCGGGAGGAACAUCAGUUGCGAAGGCGGCUCUCUGGACCAGCACUGACACUGAGGCACGAAAGCGUGGGGAGCAAACAGG
rnacentral:rRNA from 1 species